rnacentral:rRNA from 1 species
CAUGUCCUUUUGUUUAUGAUUUAAGGUCUGGUCUGCCCACUGAUAUAUUGAAGGGCCGCGGUAUUUUGACCGUGCAAAGGUAGCAUAAUCAUUAGUUUUUUAAUUGGAAACUGGAAUGAAUGGCUGGACGAGAAAGUUUCUGUCUCAAUUUAAUUUAAGUAGAAUUUAAUUUUUAAGUUAAAAAGCUUAAAUUUUUUUAAAAGACGAGAAGACCCUAUAGAGUUUAAUAAAUUUUAAUUUUUUAUUUGGAAGUAUAUUAAUUUUAUUAUUUUAAAUUUUAUUUUAUUGGGGUGAUGAAAAGAUUAAUUUAACUCUUUUUUUAUUUUUACAUUAAUAUAUGAAUUUUUGAUCCGUGGUUUACGAUUAAAAGAAUAAAUUACCUUAGGGAUAACAGCGUAAUUUUUUUAUAGAGUUCUUAUCAACAGAAGAGAUUGCGACCUCGAUGUUGGAUUAAAGUUAAUUUAUGGUGUAGCAGCUGUAAUAUUGAGUCUGUUCGACUUUUGAAACUUUACAUGAUCUGAGU